GACGAACGCUGGCGGCGUGCCUAAUACAUGCAAGUUGAGCGCUGAAGGUUGUUACUUGUACCAACUGGAUGAGCAGCGAACAGGUCAGUAACGCGCGGGGAAUCUGCCUUUGAUCGGUGGACAAAAUUUGGAAACGAAUGCUAAUACCGCAUAAAAACUUUAAACACAAGUUUUAAGUUUGAAAGAUGCAAUUGCAUCACUCAAAGAUGAUCCCGCGUUGUAUUAGCUAGUUGGUGAGGUAAAGGCUCACCAAGGCGAUGAUACAUAGCCGACCUGAGAGGGUGAUCGGCCACAUUGGGACUGAGACACGGCCCAAACUCCUACGGGAGGCAGCAGUAGGGAAUCUUCGGCAAUGGACGAAAGUCUGACCGAGCAACGCCGCGUGAGUGAAGAAGGUUUUCGGAUCGUAAAACUCGGUUGGUAGAGAAGAACGUUGGUGAGAGUGGAAAGCUCAUCAAGUGACGGUAACUACCCAGAAAGGGACGGCUAACUACGUG
rnacentral:rRNA from 1 species